GAUGAACGCUGGCGGCGUGCCUAAUACAUGCAAGUCGAGCGAACAGACGAGGAGCUUGCUCCUCUGACGUUAGCGGCGGACGGGUGAGUAACACGUGGAUAACCUACCUAUAAGACUGGGAUAACUUCGGGAAACCGGAGCUAAUACCGGAUAAUAUAUUGAACCGCAUGGUUCAAUAAUGAAAGACGGUUUUGCUGUCACUUAUAGAUGGAUCCGCGCCGCAUUAGCUAGUUGGUAAGGUAACGGCUUACCAAGGCAACGAUGCGUAGCCGACCUGAGAGGGUGAUCGGCCACACUGGAACUGAGACACGGUCCAGACUCCUACGGGAGGCAGCAGUAGGGAAUCUUCCGCAAUGGGCAAAAGCCUGACGGAGCAACGCCGCGUGAGUGAUGAAGGUCUUCGGAUCGUAAAACUCUGUUAUUAGGGAAGAACAAAUGUGUAAGUAACUAUGCACGUCUUGACGGUACCUAAUCAGAAAGCCACGGCUAACUACGUG
rnacentral:rRNA from 1 species